UACGUAGGGGGCAAGCGUUGUCCGGAAUCAUUGGGCGUAAAGAGCGUGUAGGCGGCUCGGUAAGUCCGCUGUGAAAGUCCAGGGCUCAACCCUGGAAUGCCGGUGGAAACUGUCGAGCUAGAGUCCGGAAGAGGCGAGUGGAAUUCCUGGUGUAGCGGUGAAAUGCGCAGAUAUCAGGAAGAACACCCGUGGCGAAGGCGGCUCUCUGGAACGCAACUGACGCUGAGACGCGAAAGCGUGGGGAGCAAACAGG
rnacentral:rRNA from 1 species